rnacentral:lncRNA from 1 species
UAAUCAUCUUGCCUGUAAUACCGCUUGGAAGAAGAACAAAUCCGUGAAGUAGAUGAACCAACGAAGCCGAACGAAACCUCACACUCCCACAUGCUCGCGGAACUCUAUCGAGAAGAAGCAAUCCGAAAACAAACAAUCAACAGUCGUUAAACACCACAAUGUAUGAAUGACAUGAUGCACAACAAUAUGAUGCAUGUCCAUUUAAUUAUGCAUGGUAUGGCAAAGCACAAAAAUCAACUUCUACACAUUAAGUCAAGCUCAAUAUGCAACGAGAAGCAUAUUGACAGAACACCAUGUUUAAAUCAUUUAAUUCACUCUUGUUUAUUAUACGACAUGUUAAAUGUUGUUAAGUUUGGCAAGAGGUGAAGCAUAAAUAAACUACAUAUCUAGGCAUUUUAAAUGAGGUCGGAAACAACUUAUAGUAUUUCUGGAAGGACCCCAUAUGUUAAUUACAAAAUUGAUCAAGAUCUAAACGAAACAUAUUUUACAUUUAUUAAACAGAAAAAUAAAGUGGACCAUGUGAAUCUACACGUCAUACUAGUCGGUUUACAUGUAUAGAUCAUCUAGAACGGAGCAAUGGUCUAAAAGAUAUGAGCAACACAAGAUGAUAUGGUAUGAAUGCAAAAUGUACGCAAUUGACAGCCACAUGCACCUUAAAUCAUGGAUGCAACAAGAUAUCAUGGAGCUACAUAAAAUUCUAGGCAAGUUUAAAUAAGGUCGGACAAACAAUAACAAUUCUAGAAAGUCCUCAUAUGUAAUUUUCCAACUUUCCACAGAUCUACAUAGAACACAAUUUUUGAUUUAUUAAACAACAAAAUAAAUGCCACCAUGUUAUUCUACAAAUUUUUCUGGUCAAGUUACAUAUUUGGAAGAUUGUAAUGAGAGCUACGUUUAAUUAGGUAUGCAAUGAAUCAUUUUACUAUGGUAUUUAUGCAUAUUAAAUGAAAACAGCAAGUUAAACAUUUAAACAUGGUUGAAAGUUGCAUAUUGUGAAAAUAAACAAAAUUCUAAGCGUUUUUACAUGUCUAAAUUAUUUCAAUCCGAUGCAUAGGUAAAUAAUUAUUAAUAUUUUCAAAUGAUGACUUUUGUGAAAUAUGUAAUUUAGUGGAUAAUUAGGCAAUUCGCAGCAAGGAAAAAAAUACUACACGGGCCGAAUCUUUGCACUAGGACGAAAGAGUACAUGGGUGCAAUAUAGAAAAAUUACACACACGCGAGGAAUAAAGGUUUGUGCUUACCCUGGGCCACAUCUGGUCGGCUUGGCUGGGCCGAAGUGAUGCAUUGGCCUUGGCUGCUGUGCGCUGAAGCUAGGCCGCGGGGGAAGUGGAGGAGGCCGCUGCUGGGGACAGGCCGGUUCGGGAGCUGGUCACGGGCCCAAGGGGCGCUGGCUGUGGCCCACACAGGCUGGGCACGCGAGGCAGCCCGGGAGAAGCGAUGGUCAACGUGGGCGACAACUCCCUGCUCGAUCUCGUCGAGCCGGAUGUUGCUGGCGGCAGCGGCGGGGAGAUUCGGCCGAGAAAAAGGCCAGGGCGGCUAGAUCCUUGACCAUGAGGCGCGACCAUGG